rnacentral:rRNA from 1 species
GACGAACGCUGGCGGCGUGCCUAAUACAUGCAAGUCGAGCGGACGAUUCGAAAGCUUGCUUUUGAUUCGUUAGCGGCGGACGGGUGAGUAACACGUGGGCAACCUGCCCUGUAGACGGGGAUAACACCGAGAAAUCGGUGCUAAUACCGGAUAACACGAAAUGUCGCAUGACGUCUCGUUGAAAGACGGCGCAAGCUGUCGCUACAGGAUGGGCCCGCGGCGCAUUAGCUAGUUGGUGAGGUAACGGCUCACCAAGGCGACGAUGCGUAGCCGACCUGAGAGGGUGAUCGGCCACACUGGGACUGAGACACGGCCCAGACUCCUACGGGAGGCAGCAGUAAGGAAUCUUCCGCAAUGGACGAAAGUCUGACGGAGCAACGCCGCGUGAGCGAAGAAGGCCUUCGGGUCGUAAAGCUCUGUUGUUAGGGAAGAACAAGUAACGCAGUAACUGGCGUUACCGUGACGGUACCUAACGAGAAAGCCACGGCUAACUACGUG